rnacentral:rRNA from 1 species
UACGUAGGGGGCAAGCGUUGUCCGGAAUCAUUGGGCGUAAAGAGCGUGUAGGCGGCCCGAUAAGUCCGCUGUGAAAGUCCAGGGCUCAACCCUGGGAUGCCGGUGGAUACUGUCGGGCUCGAAUCCGGAAGAGGUGAGUGGAAUUCCUGGUGUAGCGGUGAAAUGCGCAGAUAUCAGGAGGAACACCUAUUGCGAAGGCAGCUCGCUGGGACGUAACUGACGCUGAGACGCGAAAGCGUGGGGAGCAAACAGG